rnacentral:sRNA from 1 species
AGGUGUUUCUGAUCUGCAGAUGAUUAAGUCUGUGGGUACAGAACCUGCAGUUAGAGAAGGCCAGCUGUAUACUUCUUAUGCGCUUCUGCCAGAAAAAAUUAUAAUGAACUACUACGAGAAGUAUAAGCCUCGAAUGAAUGAGCUGGAAGCUUUUAAUAUGUUGAAAGUUGUUCUGGCUCCCUGCAUAGAGACUUUGAUUCUUCUGGAUCGACUUUGUUACCUGAAAGAGCAGGAAGAUAUUGCAUGGUCUGCUCUUGUGAAGUUGUUUGAUCCCGUGAAAUCUCCCAGAUGUUAUGCUGUUAUUGCUCUGAAGAAGCAGCAGUGAUUUCCAAUGAAGCAAAUUAUUAGAUGUAUUUCUCUAUGAGACCUGUUGCUGAGAUUGCUUUUCUAAACAUAUAUGUCCUGUUAUACAAAAAUUUUUAAAUGACUGUUAUAUAUUUUAAAUAAUAAAAUAAUGGCUAACAACAGAAGGUUAUAAUCCAUUUUUCCAUUGUCAAAGCAUACAUUAAUAAAAGAAGAACCUGUCAUAAUAAUAUA